AGGUUCUGCAGUUCUAGCCUCACCAGGAGCUACAACUAGGGCAGCUGGGAAAAGUAGCUUACUAAAAUCAUUGACAGUUAGAUAAGCCUGAUGCAUCUGACACAUUUUCUACAUUAUAUGAUUACCCAGCAACUCUGGCAAGUUGGUAUAUUAUUCUCAUUCUAUUUCAAAAGAAACUGAAGCUCAUAGGCGCUUUCUGAGUCACCCAGAUCACAAAACCUGUUGGGAUAACAAUAGCUGCCUCUUGUCUGACAUUCCCCUGGUGCACACCAUAGUCCUAGGAGAUUAGGAAGGCAAUUGCUGUGUCAACUCAAGGGUGAAGAGAUGCACAGAUGGAUGAAUGGAAGAAGACUUCUAUGCAGCCGAGCAAGCAGCUCAAAGUGAGCUCCAGGCACACUUUUGCUGGGGACUCUUGCAUAUGCUGUUUCUUCCCCCUACAUUCUAGUCCCUCACAUAUGCACAGGCCUCAUACCCUCCCAUCCUGCAGGUCUUAGCUCAGAUAUCAGCUUCUCAGUGAAAGGUUUUCUGCCUACCAGACCCAAAACUGAAAGACCUACCCUUCAUCAUCCCUGCCCUGGGGAGGUCCCUUUUCUGUCUACCUUCCUCCAUAGCACCUGCAAAAAUCUGACAUGCUAGUGUUUAUUGAUUUCUUAUUUAUUUAGUGUUCCUCAUUGGAACACUAAAUUUAGUUCCUCAUUGGAACUAAAACAGUACCUGGGAUAUAGUAAAUAAUCAAUAUUCUUGAAUAAAUGAGUGAAUUAGAAGUCGAACUGACGGGGUUAUGAAGGCAGCAGUUCUUUAGACAAAUUCACACACGUGCCUCUUACUAGCUUUGUUUGAGUCAUGUAACAUCUCUAAACUUUAGUUUCCUUCACAGUGAAAGGCUGGAAAUUGCACAUGCCAUUAGGAAGGGGAGGAGUAAUGUGGCAAUGCUUACAAGGUGCUAGGCACAGAAGAGAGGGUAUUGGUUAAGAGUGCAGCCUCUUAGAGUCAGAGUUCCUGAGCCCAUAUCCCAUUUCUCCACUGAACAGCUGUAUAAGCCUAGGAAACUUACUUGACCCCUCUGUAUUUCAGUUCCUUUGUAAAAUGAAGGCAAAGAACAGCACCUAUUUUACAUGGGUUGUUGAGAAAAUGGAAUUCAUGACACAUAAGGAGUUAGCACCAGAGAAAUGCUAAGGGCUGUCCAAUAGGGACCUUCCAUGAAUAUAAGUGUCUAUUGUCCACCCACAACAAGGAAUCCUGCAGAUAUUAACUAAAUAUAAAAGCAUAAAUAAGCAAGUUCCCACAGUACUCUAUUGAUGUCUUUCCAGCAGCCUUUAUUUAAUUGUUGCAUACUUUUAUCAAGUGCCUAAACUGUACUAGGUACAAGCCAAAUUUUAGAGAUAUAAAAAUGACUACAUCAUGGUCUUGGAUCUCAAGGAAAUUUGAUAUAACUGUAGAAGACCUGUCUUAUUUUCCAUGUAUGACAAACUCCUGGGGCAGGGUGCAAUUAGAUUUGUCUCUAUCACUUCUACUAGGUAGGGACCCAGUAAAUGUUCAUGAAAUAAAGGGAUAGUGAUAAUAUUUUAACAAGUAGCCUAAGGUUCAUGCUUUAAUUAAAUAUCUAGUCCAAAGCUAAUAUAACGAAUCUAGAUUUUUCCACCUAACUUUGAUAAAAAGCUUCUGGCAUCCUAGAGUCUGGAAUCUUGCCAAGUUGAAAAAAAAUUCCCUACUGCAUAUGGGGAUGGGGUAAGUGUUUUAUCUGGAAUAAGGAUGCUGACUGAGCACCAGAAAAUAAACACUAAAAGAAAGGGCUUUGUCAGCUCGCUACCCAUAUCCCUGCGUAUUUCCAACAGGGCCUGACAAUUAAUAAGCACUUGAAAACAAGCAACAACAAAGAGCAAAACUAAAACAAUGCAUACAUGACCAGAAAGGUUAAUUUUCUGCUGUGGAGUUGCUUCUGCACGAUUGGCUGCUGAACCUAAACAGGCAGCUGCCUCAGCAUCCAUUCUCACAGGCUAUUAACAGUACAAGGCACGACACAAAAUAGAAGCUCAAUAAACAUCUGCCAAGUGAAUUGAAAGCAUUAAUCAGCUGGAGACAGACAAGCUGGCUUCUGAUUAUGAUUGUUUCUGGGCCUCCAAUACAUCAUCUAGCAUGAGAAUAAUAAGCAAGGAGUCAUUUCCUACAGCAGUCAUAGAGUUCUAACUUAUUGCAGUUUCCAGUGAGAACAGAUCAGGAUUUUGGUUUCAUUGGGAACAUGUUAUGGGGUUUGGAACUACCAGGGUGGAGUGGAGAUGAGGCUGUAAUCCAUGAUUCAUUUUCUGAGAUCCUCAGCUGUUAAGGAGCACAACGUCAUUAAGGAAGCUAACGUCAUCAUAAUAUACAAUUAUUUGUGAAUAAACUAUUUUUUAAGUGAAAUUAGUUAUCUCUCAAAUGCCCCUCUUUGCUUAACACUAACACCUCUCCCUACUACUGAUUGUAUCAGCAUCAUUAUCAGUUUCUCUUUUUGCUGAUUGUCAGAUGCUACAAAAUCCAAUAAUAUUCAAGUACAGUGCAAAGCAACUACUAAGUGAAAUUAUAAGCCUUGAAAGAAUUGUAGAAUUUUGUGAAGUUAAAUGACAGCAAACUGAUAAAUUCCCUACAAUAUCCUUCACAAAUGUGCACAUGGCAGAGUUGGGCCAGGUAAGAUGUGAGGCUGAGAAAUUAAAAAUAAUAUUAACAUC